rnacentral:sRNA from 2 species
ACCACUGCCAAUCUAUCUACCACUGCUAAUCUAUAUCACUGUCAAUCUAUCUAUUGCUGCUAAUUUAUCACUGCUGCCAAUCUAUCUACUGCUGUCAAUCUAUCUAUUGCUGUCAAUCUAUCUACCACUGCUAAUCUAUCACUGCUAAUCUAUCACUGCUAAUCUAUUGCUGCUAAUCUAUCUAUCACUGCUAAUCUAUCACUGUCAAUCUAUCUACUGCUGCCAAUCUAUCUACCACUGCCAAUCUAUCUACUGCUGUCAAUCUAUCUACCACUGCUAAUCUAUCACUGCUAAUCUAUUGCUGCUAAUCUAUUGCUGCUAAUCUAUCACUGCUAAUCUAUUGCUGCUAAUCUAUCUAUCACUGCUAAUCUAUCACUGCCAAUCUAUCUACUGCUGUCAAUCUAUCUAUCACUGCCAAUCUAUCUACCACUGCUAAUCUAUCACUGCUAAUCUAUCACUGCCAAUCUAUAUAGAAUAAAUCAUGGUUCCAUUUGGUCUCAUUUUGUAAAAUGAGAUCAAAUGAAACUGGAAUCACUAAUUUAUUAGUAAAACAUGAUCUGGGACUAGAUUUAUAAUAUAAACAGUGUAAAGUGACUAAUUUACUAAACACUAUAUGAGAUCAGAACUAAGAUAUCUAAUAAUGAAACUGAGGAAAAAUUUGGUCUCAGUUUCAUGCAUGGUCACACAGCC